rnacentral:rRNA from 1 species
AAUAGAUACCCCGGUAGUCCACGCCGUAAACGAUGUCGACUUGGAGGUUGUGCCCUUGAGGCGUGGCUUCCGGAGCUAACGCGUUAAGUCGACCGCCUGGGGAGUACGGCCGCAAGGUUAAAACUCAAAUGAAUUGACGGGGGCCCGCACAAGCGGUGGAGCGUGUGGUUUAAUUCGAUGCAACGCGAAGAACCUUACCUACUCUUGACAUCCAGAGAACUUGGCAGAGAUGCUUUGGUGCCUUCGGGAACUCUGAGACAGGUGCUGCAUGGCUGUCGUCAGCUCGUGUUGUGAAGUGUUGGGUUAAGUCCCGCAACGAGCGCAACCCUUAUCCUUUGUUGCCAGCGGUUAGGCCGGGAACUCAAAGGAGACUGCCAGUGAUAAACUGGAGGAAGGUGGGGAUGACGUCAAGUCAUCAUGGCCCUUACGAGUAGGGCUACACACGUGCUACAAUGGCGCAUACAAAGAGAAGCGACCUCGCGAGAGCAAGCGGACCUCAUAAAGUGCGUCGUAGUCCGGAUUGGAGUCUGCUAAC